GAUGAACGCUAGCUACAGGCUUAACACAUGCAAGUCGCGGGACCGGCGCCCGGGUGAGUGACGCGUAUCCCACCUGCCCUUCACCACGGGAUAACCCGGCGAAAGUCGGACUAAUACCGUAUGGUGAGGGAUGGGGAUGCGUGCGCUUUGCUGGGGGGCGGGGUAACGGCCCACCGUGGCUACGAUCGGGGGGGGUGCUGAGAGGAAGGUCCCCCACACUGGAACUGAGACACGGGCCAGACUCCUACGGGAGGCAGCAGUGAGGAAUAUUGGUCAAUGGGCGUAAGCCUGAACCAGCCAAGUAGCGUGCAGGACGACGGCCUAUGGGUUGUAAACUGCUUUUAUGCGGGGAUAGGUACCGCAUGAAUAAGGACCGGCUAAUUCCGUGCCAGCAGCCGCGGUAAUAC
rnacentral:rRNA from 1 species